UAUGACUGGGCUACNCACGUGCUACAAUGGGAAGUACAACGAGUUGCGAAGUCGCGAGGCUAAGCUAAUCUCUUAAAGCUUCUCUCAGUUCGGAUUGCAGGCUGCAACUCGCCUGCAUGAAGCCGGAAUCGCUAGUAAUCGCGGAUCAGCACGCCGCGGUGAAUACGUUCCCGGGCCUUGUACACACCGCCCGUCACACCACGAGAGUUUGUAACACCCGAAGUCGGUGAGGUAACCUUUUGGAGCCAGCCGCCUAAGGUGGGAUAGAUGAUUGGGGUGAAGUCGUAACAAGGUAGCCGUAUCGGAAGGUGCGGUUGGAUCACCUCCNUA
rnacentral:rRNA from 1 species